rnacentral:rRNA from 1 species
CUAGCGAUCCGCCGACGUUACUACAAUGGCUCGGCGGGAGUGUCGAGAUGGGCCGACAAUUUUACUUUGAACAAAUUAGAGUGCUCAAAGCGGGCUCAAAAUGCUGCUUGAAUAUUUCGUGCAUGGAAUAAUAGAAUAUGAUCUCGGUUCUAUUUUGUUGGUUUUCAGAACUCCGAGGUAAUGAUUAAUAGGGAUAACUGGGGGCAUUCGUAUUGCGACGUUAGAGGUGAAAUUCUUGGAUCGUCGCAAGACGAACAUCAGCGAAAGCAUUUGCCAAAGGUGUUUUCAUCAAUCAAGAACGAAAGUUAGAGGUUCGAAGGCGAUUAGAUACCGCCCUAGUUCUAACCGUAAAUAUGUCAUCUAGCGAUCCGCCGACGUUACUACAAUGGCUCGGCGGGCAGCUUUCGGGAAACCAAAGAUUUUGGACUCCGGGGGGAGUAUGGUUGCAAAGCUGAAACUUAAAGGAAUUGACGGAAGGGCACCACCAGGAGUGGCCUGCGGCUUAAUUUGACGCAACACUGCGGCUUAAUUUGACGCAACACGGGAACCAAAGAUUUUGGACUCCGGGGGGAGUAUGGUUGCAAAGCUGAAACUUAAAGGAAUUGACGGAAGGGCACCACCAGGAGUGGAGCCUGCGGCUUAAUUUGACCGCCAACACGGGAAAUCUCACCAGGCCCGGACACCGGAAGGAUUGACAGAUUAACAGCUCUUUCUUGAUUCGGUGGGUGGUGGUGCAUGGCCGUUCUUAGUUGGUGGAGCGAUUUGUCUGGUUAAUUCCGGUAACGAACGAGACUCUAGCCUGCUAAAUAGGCGUCGUCAUUUAGGUGUGCGUGGCUCACGUCACGCAACUCACUGGCGACGUAUUAAAAUUCUUCUUAGAGGGACCGGCGGCUUCGAGCCGCACGAGAUUGAGCAAUAACAGGUCUGUGAUGCCCUUAGAUGUCCUGGGCCGCACGCGCGCUACACUGAAGGAAUCAGCAUGUUCUCCCAGGCCUAGAGGCCCGGGCAACCCGUUGAAACUCCUUCGUGCUGGGGAUUGGGGUUUGCAAUUAUCCCCCAUAAACGAGGAAUUCCUAGUAAGCGCGAGUCAUAAGCUCGCGUUGAUUACGUCCCUGCCCUUUGUACACACCGCCCGUCGCUACUACCGAUUGAAUGAUUUAGUGAGGUCUUCGGACCGACACGCGGUGGCUUCACGGCCGUCGGCGUUGCUGGGAAGUUGACCAAACUUGAUCAUUUAGAGGAAGUAAAAGUCGUAACAAGGUUUCCGUAGGGGAACCUGCGGAAG